GACGAACGCUGGCGGCGUGCUUAACACAUGCAAGUCGAACGGAAAGGCCCUGCUUGCAGGGUGCUCGAGUGGCGAACGGGUGAGUAACACGUGGGUGAUCUGCCCCUUACUUUGGGAUAAGCCUGGGAAACUGGGUCUAAUACUGGAUAGGACCAUGCUGUAGGUGGUGUGGUGGAAAGAUUAGUUUCGGUAAGGGAUGAGCUCGCGGCCUAUCAGCUUGUUGGUGGGGUAAUGGCCUACCAAGGCGUCGACGGGUAGCCGGCCUGAGAGGGUGGACGGCCACAUUGGGACUGAGAUACGGCCCAGACUCCUACGGGAGGCAGCAGUGGGGAAUAUUGCACAAUGGGCGCAAGCCUGAUGCAGCGACGCUGCGUGGGGGAUGACGGCCUUCGGGUUGUAAACUCCUUUCAGCCAUGACGAAGCCCUUGUGGUGACGGUAGUGGUAGAAGAAGCACCGGCUAACUACGUG
rnacentral:rRNA from 1 species